UACGCAGGGUGCAAGCGUUAUCCGGAUUCACUGGGUUUAAAGGGUGCGUAGGCGGGUAAGUAAGUCCGUGGUGAAAUCUCUGAGCUUAACUCAGAAACUGCCGUGGAUACUAUUUGCCUUGAAUAUUGUGGAGGUGAGCGGAAUAUGUCAUGUAGCGGUGAAAUGCUUAGAUAUGACAUAGAACACCAAUUGCGAAGGCAGCUCACUACACAAUCAUUGACGCUGAGGCACGAAAGCGUGGGGAGCAAACAGG
rnacentral:rRNA from 1 species